AGAAAAAAAAAGUCUUCUAGUACUGCCGCUUUAUAAUUUAAUUACCAGUUAAUUUAUUGAAUUGACUAAUAAAAAAAAAACUUAUUUAAUUAACUUCGUGACUAAAAACUUUUACGUGAAUUUUAAUGUUAUCUUGCAAUAUUUUACUUUAUUUAUUAUAUACAUCAUACAUCAUACAAAAAGUUUUUUUGUAAUUUAGAGAAAAAAAAAAAUUAUAGCAGAAAAAUAAUUGAGCGAAUGACUCAAGAUUAUUCUUUAUCUGGGAUUAAUCAUCAGUAGGCCUCAAAAGUUUUAUUCGUAAUGUAAAUUACUGCAAAUUAUUUUCAAAUGGAGGAUUUUUUGUGAUUGUUUCUAUAGGUCUUAAAGUUUUAUUAUUGACGGAUGUUUUGUAGUGUUAAUACAUGGAAAUAUUAAUUACACAAAUACAGCUGUAUUUGACUCAGUUGCUUUCCAUAAAAAGGGUUA